rnacentral:rRNA from 1 species
UAACACAUGCAAGUCGAACGAAGCACUUCAUAAAGCUUGCUUUAAGAAGUGACUUAGUGGCGGACGGGUGAGUAACGCGUGGGUAACCUGCCUUACACAGGGGGAUAACAGUUAGAAAUGACUGCUAAUACCGCAUAAAACAGCAGAGUCGCAUGACUCAACUGUCAAAGAUUUAUCGGUGUAAGAUGGACCCGCGUCUGAUUAGCUAGUUGGUGGGGUAACGGCCUACCAAGGCGACGAUCAGUAGCCGGCCUGAGAGGGUGAACGGCCACAUUGGGACUGAGACACGGCCCAAACUCCUACGGGAGGCAGCAGUGGGGAAUAUUGGACAAUGGGCGAAAGCCUGAUCCAGCGACGCCGCGUGAGCGAUGAAGUAUUUCGGUAUGUAAAGCUCUAUCAGCAGGGAAGAAAACGA